UUGUACCUGAAUGCAUAACUCUUCAACCUCAGGACUUGCAGAGUUAUUGGAAUGCCGUCCUAAGGUUGUUGAGUUGUGCGUUUCUGGGC
rnacentral:pre_miRNA from 10 species